AACCUGUUCCAGGGGGGCCCCGGCAAGGGGCUGAGAUACCGAUGGCUGAAGGGGGCUUUCCCCGAGGGCGCGCGGUGACCCUUCGAACCUGAUCCGGGUCAUGCCGGCGAAGGGACGGAACGCGGGCCGGCGC
rnacentral:ncRNA from 2 species